CCCUAAUUAUCUUUCUUUUUAGUCUGGCCGCAGCUGCCUUCGCCUUCUUAUAAUAGUUUCCCAUCUCAAAUCAAUGAACCAACUCCGAUCUCAAGUCGUCUUCUUCUUCUAAUCAUGCUGUCUUCCUCUCCUAGUCCUGUCGUAGUCUCUGUCGUAGUCUUCUUCUCCUAAUCCUAUCGUAGUUUUAGAUGUCUCAAAACUUUGAAUGAACCAGUUCCUUUCUCUAGUUGCCUUUUUCUCCUAAUCCUUCUGUAGUCUCCGAUCUCUCAUGAUUUUCAAUGACCCAGUUCCAAUCUCUAGCCGUAUUCUGCUAAAGAAGUUUAUGUCUACAAUGGAUUAUAUAGAACUUGAAAAACCUAGUGCUAAUUAAGGAGGAGAAGAAACCGUCCUGGAAUGCAUGAUCCAGAUGCUGAGGUUAUUUUCUGUUGCCGGAGCUCCAGGAUACGUUGAACAGGGGAAGAGAUAACAGAAGGCCAGAGAUCUCUUUAUAUAUAGAGAGAAAAGAACACCUCUUUGUGGGUGAGAGAGAAAUAAAAAGUGUAUAAAAUUAGGGUUUUCAUUUUGUUAUUUUUUAUUUCCAACUAAUUAUGGUUGUGAUUUUGAAAUUUAAUGAAACGUCCCUCCAAUAAUUUGGUACCUUGA